rnacentral:rRNA from 1 species
UACGUAGGCAGCGAGCGUUGUUCGGAAUUACUGGGCGUAAAGGGCCAGUAGGCGGCCAACUAAGUCCGACGUGAAAUCCCCAGGCUUAACCUGGGAACUGCGUCGGAUACUGGAUGGCUUGAAUUCGGGAGAGGGAUGCAGAAUUCCAGGUGUAGCGGUGAAAUGCGUAGAUAUCUGGAGGAAUACCGGUGGCGAAGGCGGCAUCCUGGACCGACAUUGACGCUGAACGGCGAAAGCUAGGGGAGCAAACGGG